UGUCGGUAUCGACUCUCGAGAUUGGAAGGUUGCAGGAAACGGUCUCAGAUCGCAGGUGGGGGUGCAACUGAGGAGAUUUCUGUCGCCUGCAGCUAGCAUGCUAGCACCACUACUGGUCUCCGUGGCUUACUUAGUGGCACCACCCAGACCCUCAUGUGCAGGAGGUCCCAGCCCCUGGAUUUAUGUGCUUUUCAGACUCUGGCUACUAAACCUGUCUAUAUAGACCAUCAACAUUAGGCAAGAGAGUACCAAGAAACACCCAGCCGUACCACUUGGAUACAAAAUGUUUCUCCUUGCCCACAUUGUGUAACAGCAAUGAUCAGGGUCAGUUACUUCUGCCAGCACAGUGCCUCCUCUUUGCAUGCUGUCUACUGGCUGAAGUGCCCAGGUAGCAACUGUAGCUAGUGUUUCAGCCGAGCUCCUGGGUCCCCUGGUAAAAAACAUUCCAGUUUUGGAAAUCAAAACUAUCAGCCUGAGGAAGCCAGAAUUGCAGACACAAGAACAAUUUCCCAGGAGGGUCAUUGGGAGCGAUGGUAAGCAGGGCAACUCUGGCUUCCAGUGUGUGUGGUCUACUUACUGGAAACCCAGCAUCCUGCAGGACUGUGCCCCAUCCUCAUAAGGCAUUGCCUAUGAGCUGGACACAAGGGGUGUUUCUCUGCUCUGCCAGACUGAUAGUUUGAGUGAUGUAUUUGAUACCACUCGAUUUCAUGGUCACAUGCCCACUCCCAACCUCCUUUGUUGUAAAAUGGCUCCUUUGCUUUGACACAGUGGGAUAUAAGACACCAGUGCAUCAGACACCAUGAGCAAGAAUAGCAAAUCUAUAUCCAAAUAUGGGCCUAUUCCUGAUGAAACAAAUGGCUCCUCUUUCUAGGAUGAAAGGGGCCAUUGCAGUCAAACUGCCAAGUGGUUAGUUGGUCUCCUUAGAGUGUACUUAUAGUUUGCUGAGGCUGCCAUAGCAAAAUGACACAGAUAGGGGGAUUUAAGAGACAUUUAUUUUCUCACAGUUCAGGAGGCUGGAAAUUCAAGAUCAGGGUGCCAGCACAAUAGAGUUCCUUUGUCUUCCCCUCUCCUUCACUUGAAGUCAUUUUGAUGUCUGAAACUUUGUGACAUUUUUCCCUUGAAAGCUUUCAGGUCUCUACCUGCAUUACUCUGAAAUGUCCGUGAUGAUCUUGAAUGAGCAUCCUUGGACAAGUCUUUGCACCUGUAUGAAUACUUCUGUAGACUAGACUAUUAGAAGUAGAAUCUACUAAAACUAUGUACAUUUUGAAAUUUAGUAGACACUGCCAAAUUGCUCUAAGAUCGAAAACUUGCACUGUGUAUGAAAUUGAUUCCCCCUACUCUCUAAAACGUUCUCAUCUUUCCCAGUCUCAUGAAGACAAUUGACUAUUCAUUGUCACUUUAAAAAUGUUUUUACCUUUUUCAUUGAAAUAGGAUUUCUUAGCAUAUUAGUGGCAUAACACUUCUACCAUUUGUUUUGCAAUUUAAAAUUAGGGAAGUUUGUAUUACUGCUAUAGGGUAAGAAUGCACUAUCAAUUUUCCUGGUGCUACAUACCAUCUGAUCAUAUAAAGGAAAGCAGUACUGAAUGUGGGGAAAUGGCAGUUAUUAGGAUUUUUAUACUUUUCUUCCACUGCUUACAGACCCAGCACAGACUCUUGAAAAAUCAAGCUAAGGGAAUUUCAAUUGUUUUACCAACCUCACAUAGGGAAGGCAGUUUUAUAUACAUAGAGCAGUGGUUAAGAUCUGGAUUGAAAUCCUAAGUCAGCCUUACCAACUGUGACCUUGAGUGAGUUACAUCUUUGCUUAAUCAUCUGUAAAAUGGAGACUGAAAUGGUACGUACAUUACAGGGAUGUUAUGAGAAUUGAAUUAUUUGCAAAGUAUUUAGAAUCUGACAUGGGAUGACUGCUGUGUCUGUGAUUAAAUGUUGCCUUAUCUGUAAAAGUGAUGACCAGUUUAAUAUAACGUUUAUUGAUCUCUUCUAUGCAUUGGAAUUCAAACUCUGAAGAUAUGAUAAUUAAAACACUUCUCUAUAGGAGCUUAUAGUGUUGAGCAAAGACAAGCGAAUAAUGACAAAACGUGAUAAGGGACAUUCAGCCCAAUUUGGGAGAGCUGGAGGAAGUGAUACCUAGACUGAGUCCUGAAGAACCAAUGACCAAAAAAUAUAAUUAAAAAAAUUUUUAAUAAAAGAACGACCAUCUAACCACUGUGCUGGGUAUCUGAAACAACUAUAAAAUACUCGAGUGUCACCUGUAAUUGGGGGGGGGGGGGGAAGUAUGGCAAUAAGUAAAUAUCCCCCCCCCC